rnacentral:rRNA from 1 species
UACGGAGGGUGCAAGCGUUAUCCGGAUUCACUGGGUUUAAAGGGUGCGUAGGCGGGUAGGUAAGUCAGUGGUGAAAUCCUGGAGCUCAACUCCAGAACUGCCAUUGAUACUAUCUAUCUUGAAUACUGUGGAGGUAAGCGGAAUAUGUCAUGUAGCGGUGAAAUGCUUAGAUAUGACAUAGAACACCGAUAGCGAAGGCAGCUUACUACGCAGUUAUUGACACUGAGGCUCGAAAGCGUGGGGAUCAGACAGGAUUAGAUACCCUGGUAGUCCACGCCCUAAACUAUGGAUACUCGACAUCAGCGAUACACAGUUGGUGUCUGAGCGAAAGCAUUAAGUAUCCCACCUGGGAAGUACGUCCGCAAGGAUGAAACUC